rnacentral:rRNA from 1 species
CCUACGGGGCGCAGCAGUGGGGGAUAUUGCACAAUGGGGGGAACCCUGAUGCAGCGACGCCGCGUGGGUGAAGGAGUAUUUCGGUAUGUAAAGCCCUAUCGGCAGGGAAGAAGAAAGACGGUACCUGACUAAGAAGCCCCGGCUAACUACGUGCCAGCAGCCGCGGUAAUACGUAGGGGGCGAGCGUUAUCCGGAUUCACUGGGUGUAAAGGGAGCGUAGACGGCCAAGCAAGCCAGGGGGGAAAGCCCGGGGCCCAACCCCGGGACUGCCCUUGGAACUGCAUGGCGGGAGGGGGGGGGGGGCC